AAUGGACUCUGUAUUUGUUAGCGCCCCCAAGAGGCCUGCUGCUGGAACUGCAGGAUCUUUCAGGAAUUUUGAAACAAAUCAGGAAUUCCUUCUGCGUUUGUGGAGCUUUUGAUUCAUGAUUUGUUUGUCUGUCUUAAGAGCUAAAGAUAAGGAGUUUGGAGUCUCCAGAGGCGUGGACUUCCAGAAUGUCUCCAAUGUCAUAAACUUUGACUUCCCCUGAUGGUGGAGUCGUCGGCAGGUAUCUGAAGCCGGCGCUGCGACCUCCUUCACGUGUUUUCUGCCUUCUUUCAGGAUUGUUGUUUGUCUUUUUUGCAGAACGGCGAGAGCGGACGACCAGGGCACAGCGCUGUCCUUCAUCUCACACACGGAGCGCCCCCUGCUGGCCGAGCUGGAGGAGGCUCUGAGCACAGACAACAGCGAGUCGGUCCUGAAGCCGGAUCAGUUCAGGAUGGAGGAGAUCCAGGGCUUCAGGUACCGCUGCCGGGACGCCAUGCGCGCCGUGACCAAGCAGGCAGUGAGGGAGGCCAGGCUGAAGGAGAUCAAGCAGGAGAAGCUGAGGGUCUGAGGAGGAGGAGGAGGAGGAGGAGGAGGAGGAGCUGAUCAGAAGCUUCUGUCCCGCAGACGUACUUCCAUGACAACCCCAGAGAUCUGCAGCUGCUGAGACACGACAAGGACCUCCACCCCGCCGUGGUGAAGCCGCACAUGAAGAACAUCCUCGAGUAAGACCCUCGUCUUCAUCGUAUGUGAAGGCUUUCGGCGGGUGAAUGUGACCCGUCUCACGGCGCUCUGAUCUCAGCUGAAACUGCAGGAGGCGGUGCCGGUCCUCCUGCUGUUCUGAGUUUGUUUCAGAUGAUUUCUGUUUCCAUUUUGUACAAGUUUGUUCUUCAAAGUGAAGUUUUGAGUUGAACCCAGGGGUCCCCACGCUUUUUCAUGUGAGGACCACAGAACUGUUUUCUUCUCUGAUGGGGGUCCAGGUCGGAUUUUAGGCUAACAGAAGAAGUGUGACGAUCACGGCCUAAACGUUAAGAUUUAGGGUUUUCCAGAAAGACACACAGAGACAAAUUUGAAAUGUUUCAUUUUUGUAAACUUCACAGAAAAAAUAAUACUUAAACAUUUUAAAAACUAGAUAUAGAUGAGAUAGAUUAAUAGCUGAAGAUGCUUAAAUUGAAAGCUGAAAACACUGAAGUUAGUGGCUAGCUAAAAUAUUAGUUCAUAUAAAUUCUAAAAAAAUCUAAAUUAGCUAAAACAGCUAGCAUGUUGCUGAAAUAUUAGCUAAACUUCAUAACAGCCUAAAAAACUGAAAAAAAGCCUAAAUUAUCCAAAAUCAGCUAGCAUAAAGCUAAAAUAUUAGAUAAACUCCAAAUUAUAAUAUUAUUAUUAUAAUAUAUUAUAAUAUUAUUAUAAUAUAUGAAUGGCGCUGUUCGAACGGCUGCUUGUUUUUGCAUCUCCGUGAUUUUUUAGAUCAUUUAGAUUUUUUAGAUUGUUUUUUUCUUGCUGGUUGGAGUUUUGUUCAACUCUUGUGGGUGGGAUUACUUUUUGCACCUUUAUUUGUUUUGCAUAUAUUAAUUUACUGUUAUUUUAAUUGGCCAUUAAAAAGGGUGGGGGGUGCAGUAAGGCACACUUCUUUUCAUCUCAUGGACUACAUAUUCAUCUGAUUUCCAAGCAACUCUUAAUUUCUCCAAGCAGUAUCAAGUAUUGGUAAACAUCUAUCAGUAGUUGCAAAGAAGCACAUAAAUAAACCGAUAUUACAGCUUAGCAAGGACCUAGAACUUUCUACAACAGAUAUGCUGUGACGAGUGGACGCUGGCAUGACUGUUGCCGCUAUUCUCCGGCUGAAAUAACUUUUUUCACGUUUGUACUCAGGAUUUUGCUGUGGACUUUUAUUCUGUGGAUUUCUGCCCCGGAAGGUACACAUUAUUGUGCUU
rnacentral:lncRNA from 1 species